rnacentral:rRNA from 1 species
CCUACGGGAGGCAGCAGUGAGGAAUAUUGGUCAAUGGGCGCAAGCCUGAACCAGCCAAGUCGCGUGAGCGAUGACGGUCCUAUGGAUUGUAAACCUCUUUUGUCGGGGAGCAAGUCCCGCCACGUGUGGCGGGAAGGAUAGUCACCGAAGAAAAAGCAGCUGCUAACUCCGUGCCAGCAGUCGCGGUAAUCCGGAGGAUGCGGUCGUUAGCCGGAAUUAUUGGGUUUAAAGGGUACGUAGGCGGAAGGUUAAGUCAGCGGUCAAAUGUCAGUGCUAAACACCGGGCUGCCGUUGAGACUGGUCAUCUUGAGUGGGCGAGAAGGAUGUGGAAUGCGUGGUGUAGCGGUGAAAUGCAUAGAUAUCACGCAGAACUCCGAUUGCGAAGGCAGCAUACCGGCGUUCAACUGACGUUGAGGCACGAAAGCGUGGGGAUCGAACAGGAUUAGAUACCCGAGUAGUC